rnacentral:rRNA from 1 species
CUACGGGAGGCUGCAGUGGGGAAUAUUGGACAAUGGGGGAAACCCUGAUCCAGCAAUGCCGCGUGUGUGAAGAAGGCCUGCGGGUUGUAAAGCACUUUCGGUUGGGAGGACUGCUUCUAGCACUAAUAUUGUUGGAAGUUGACGUUACCUUCAGAAGAAGCACCGGCUAACUCCGUGCCAGCAGCCGCGGUAAUACGGAGGGUGCAGGCGUUAAUCGGAAUUACUGGGCUUAAAGCGCGCGUAGGCGGCUUGAUCAGUCGGGUGUGAAAGCCCCGGGCUUAACCUGGGAACUGCAUCCGAUACUGUCUAGCUUGAGUACAGGAGAGGAGAGUGGAAUUCCACAUGUAGCGGUGAAAUGCGUAGAUAUGUGGAGGAACACCAAUGGCGAAGGCAGCUCUCUGGCCUGAUACUGACGCUGAGGUGCGAAAGCGUGGGGAGCAAACAGGAUUAGAUACCCCUGUAGUC